CCGAGUCUUAACUGGGCGUUAAGUUGCAGGGUAUAGACCCGAAACCCGGUGAUCUAGCCAUGGGCAGGUUGAAGGUUGGGUAACACUAACUGGAGGACCGAACCGACUAAUGUUGAAAAAUUAGCGGAUGACUUGUGGCUGGGGGUGAAAGGCCAAUCAAACCGGGAGAUAGCUGGUUCUCCCCGAAAGCUAUUUAGGUAGCGCCUCGUGAAUUCAUCUCCGGGGGUAGAGCACUGUUUCGGCAAGGGGGUCAUCCCGACUUACCAACCCGAUGCAAACUGCGAAUACCGGAGAAUGUUAUCACGGGAGACACACGGCGGGUGCUAACGUCCGUCGUGAAGAGGGAAACAACCCAGACCGCCAGCUAAGGUCCCAAAGUCAUGGUUAAGUGGGAAACGAUGUGGGAAGGCCCAGACAGCCAGGAUGUUGGCUUAGAAGCAGCCAUCAUUUAAAGAAAGCGUAAUAGCUCACUGGUCGAGUCGGCCUGCGCGGAAGAUGUAACGGGGCUAAACCAUGCACCGAAGCUGCGGCAGCGACGCUUAUGCGUUGUUGGGUAGGGGAGCGUUCUGUAAGCCUG
rnacentral:rRNA from 1 species